UUAAGUUCAGCGGGUAGUCUCACCCGAUUUGAGGUCAAGGGUUCGUGAGGUUGAGAGAGUUUCCCGAGAAGGGAGACACGCCCAAACGUUGUCUCGUCGAGACGGUUAGAAGCGGGUCCCAAAGGCAACAGAGCCAGAAACCAAGUCAUGGAAACAUCUUAUCACAUGUCGAGGAUCGGCAAAGAGGACCCCGCUAAUUC
rnacentral:misc_RNA from 1 species